AUCCAGCUGACGAGUCCCGAACAGGACGAAACGCGCGUCCUGAAU
rfam:Schistosoma curassoni strain Dakar, Senegal genome assembly, scaffold: SCTD_scaffold0004583